rnacentral:lncRNA from 1 species
CAAAAAUAGCACUAAAUCAAGUUUAUGUUCCCAAACUAGCACUUAAGGUCAAAAGUCACAAAAAUAACACUUAAUGUUUUAUCAAAAGUCACAAACUUAGGGUUUAGAGUUAAAGGGUGGGGUUUAAGAUUUAGGGUUUAGGGUUUAGGGUCUAGAGUUUAGGGUUUAGGGUUUAAAUUUUAGGGUUUAGGGUUUAGGGUUUAGAGUUUAGGGUUUAGGGUUUAGAGUUUAGGGUUUAGGGUUUAUAGUUGAGAAAUGAGGUUUUGGGGAUAAGAUUUCAAAUUUUGAAAAAUAAAAAAAUUAAUAUUUUCAAAGGAUAAA